ACGUAGGCAGCGAGCGUUGUUCGGAGUUACUGGGCGUAAAGAGUGCGUAGGCGGUGGCCCAAGUCUGGUGUGAAAUCUCCCGGCUCAACCGGGAGGGUGCGCCGGAAACUGGGUUGCUUGAGUACUGGAGAGGCAAGCGGAAUUCCUGGUGUAGCGGUGAAAUGCGUAGAUAUCUGGAGGAACACCGGUGGCGAAGGCGACAUCCUGGACCGGUAUUGACGCUGAGGCGCGAAAGCCAGGGGAGCAAACGGGA
rnacentral:rRNA from 1 species